UCUCUGUAAUCAAUUCCAGAUCACACUAUACAGAUGUGUUUGUUUUCUGACUAACAAUGAGAAUAAAAUGUUUCCGCAGCUAGGAAAAAGGCUUUGGAAAGGAAGUAAGAUGUAACUGGUACAAGCUGAGACACCCCGUGUGGCCAGUAUGAUCUGUAUACAUGGUGGACAUAGUCUAUCAGCAGUCCAGAAUUCUAAAAGAAUUAUGACAUCCCUCUUCCAUGCGAUAGUCAGUCAUCUCAUCCAAAAUGCUCAUAAUAUCUGGUUAUUACUGUAAUCCUCUUGCUCUUUUGUGAUAGGUGCCAUGUGAUCUUUAAUGACUACACUGGGGGGGGCUAUUUGGUCCUGAGGGAAGAGUGCCCCCUACUGGCCCCCUGCCAACUUAGUUAAUGGAAGUAGAAAACGCUGUCCAAGGCCUCCCUCCAGAAUAUUCCAUUAAGAAAUCUCUAACCUGAGGCACCGUUUCUCAUGAGAAAUCAGCCAGCAAACUGCACAUUCUGUAUGUCAGAACCACUUCCCGAAGCCAACGCUCUUCAGUGAACCCUUAGAGGCCGAAGUGGCGGUCCGGCCGAAGACUGGAGUGUGAGAACAGAAGCCGGGAGACGGGGAGCGAGCGAGGCACAGCCCUCAGAUUGAAUGGAUCACAGUCCAUUACCUCUCCCAGCACCAAUUAGAUUUGGAGUCGCUUCCUGUUAAUGCUUACCCUUGCAGGUCCGCGCUAAAUUAAAUACUAGAUCUUCAUUG